ensembl:lncRNA
CCACGCCUACCUACUGCCUGAAGAUGCCCAUCUGUAGCAGCUAGUGGAGCGAGUUGAGGAGAAGGCGGGGGGGUUUGGAAGCGAAAUCCCCAGCCUGUCAGGCCUCUUCAGAUGGACGGCUUCUAUAGCCUUAGGACUGACUGUCCCUCUAAGAUCUUACCAGAGGAGCUGAUGCUGAGAUACAGCAAAACCACCCCCAACUUCUUCAAGGUGAAGCUUCCUGAGGCUGCUGCCUCCUUUCACAUGGUGUUGUUCAGCUCUGCAGACAGCAGGGAGCAGUCUGUGUGGACAGUGAUUGUGUCCGUGACUGUAAUAGACUGGUGAUUGUGACUGUAAUAGACUGGUGAUUGGGUCUCUGACUGUAAUAGACUGGUGAUUGUGACUGUAAUAGACUGGUGAUUGGGUCUCUGACUGUAAUAGACUGGUGAUUGUGAUAGACUGGUGAUUGUGUUUGUGACUGUAAUAGACUGGUGAUUGUGACUGUAAUAGACUGGUGAUUGUGACUGUAAUAGACUGGUGAUUGAGUUUGUGACUGUAAUAGACUGGUGAUUAUGAUUGUGACUGUAAUAGACUGAUGAUUGUGUCUGUGACUGUAAUAGACUGGUGAUUGUGUCUGUGACUGUAAUAGACUGGUGAUUGUGUCUAUGACAGUAAUAGACUGGUGAUUGUGACUGUAAUAGACUGGUGAUUGUGACUGUAAUAGACUGGUGAUUGUGUCUGUGACUGUAAUAGACUGGUGAUUGUGACUCUGACUGUAAUAGACUGGUGAUUGUGUCUGUGACUGUAAUAGACUGGUGAUUGUGUUUGUGACUGUAAUAGACUGGUGAUUGUGACUGUGACUGUAAUAGACUGGUGAUUGUGACUCUGACUGUAAUAGACUGGUGAUUGUGAUUGUGACUGUAAUAGGCUGGUGAUUGUGACUUUAAUAGGCUGGUGAUUGUGUCUGUAAUAGACUGGUGAUUUUGUUUGUGUCUGUAAUAGACUGGUGUCUGUGACUGUAAUAGGCUGGUGAUUGUGUUUGUGACUAAUAGAUUGAAAUGUUCCUGAUUGUUAUUCUUCAGGUCAGAACAGCAGUCAAACUGUGGCUCCUUCAGUGUCUCAUAACCAAGUCCAGAGAGACGUUAACGUCACAACUCAUAUUCACGGUGACAACAUCAGAAGAAAUUUAGUAAAUGAUUACAGAAUAAUCAGACAUAUUCAUACAAGUAAAUUCUAUAGACCAAGAGUCAGUGAAUGAUUACAGAAUAUAUUCAUAAGUAAAGUAAAGUAAAUAAAGUACAUUCUAUAGACCACACAUAUAACACGUCACAGUUGGAGAAACUAAUAUUCACAGUAGCAGUUGUUUCAUGUUGCUUUAAUUGCCCAUAAGAGUCACAUUUAUUUUGUUGUGUUUCUUCUUUUAUCUGCCGUUUCCACCCUUUCUCUCUGUACAGUCCAACCAUCACCAGCAGUCAACACAGACAGAUGAAUUCAACCCUGAGGAGCCCCUUCUAGAAGACACCUACAAGAGGAGGAUGGAUCUUAAUAUGAGCUCAAGUCUCUCUCAGAUGAACUUUAACUUGAGCUUAGGAAUCUUUUAGAUAGUUUUUAAUCAGUAAUGUUCUUGCAAAUCUAAUCUUUUAUUUAGCACUUAGUCAGAUGACAACUGUGGUGUGUGGUACAUUCCUGUUUCUGUUUGUUUUAAUGGUGUUUAUGUUUAUGUGUUUCUGUAUGUUUUAAUGGUGUCUCUUUUCUUUCUGUUUAUUAUCACACUGAUCAACUCACAAUGUUGUCUCUGCAAUGCCUUUGCCAUUGAACAGCUGUUAUACAAAGGACAUUAUAUUUUCAUACGUGAAAUUAUUUUGUAUUGAUGAAUUACUU